rnacentral:rRNA from 1 species
UACGGAGGAUGCAAGCGUUAUCCGGAAUGAUUGGGCGUAAAGCGUCCGCAGGUGGCUAUGUAAGUCUGCUGUUAAAGAGUGAGGCUCAACCUCAUAAGAGCAGUGGAAACUACAUGGCUAGAGUGCGUUCGGGGCAGAGGGAAUUCCUGGUGUAGCGGUGAAAUGCGCAGAUAUCAGGAGGAACACCAAUGGCGAAGGCAGCACUCUGGGACGUGACUGACGCUGAGACGCGAAAGCCAGGGAGCGAACGGG